rnacentral:antisense_RNA from 1 species
UUGCACUCUGCCUCUGACUCUCUUCCAAGAACAAUUUGGCAAGUUCUAAUCUACAUCUUGCAAAAAAAAAAAAAAGACAAAAAACAGAGAGGUAGGAGGGCCACAGCACCUGGGGUCCCAGAAGGCAGACUGACCUGUUCCUUACAGCGGGGAGACAAGGUCUCAUUCUGUUGCCCAGGCUGGAGUGCAGUGGUGCAAUCACGGUUCACCGCAACCUGGAACUCUAGGGCUCAAGCAAUCCUCCUGCCUCAGCCUGCCGAGUAGCUGUGACCACAGGUGCGCGCCACCAUGCCCGGCUAAGAUUUCACCAUGUUGCCCAGUUGGUCUUGAACUCCUGGCCUCAAGCAAUUCUCCUGCUUCAGGCUCCCAAGUUGCUGGAAUUACAGGCUGCCUCCUCUGAGCCUUCCCAGAUUCUCAGUCUGUGAUGAAAUAGACAGAACACCAAGCUACCAGGAAGGGCACCUGCCUCCUAGAUGGGGAUCUUCAUCCCCAUCUAGGGGAUCCCCUAGAAUGGGGAUCUUCAUUCGCACUUAGGUGAUCACUUGCCUUCGAGAGCCCCAUCCAGAAGACGGGAGUAAUGAGCCCUGCUCUGCCCAUCACGGGCUGCUAUGAGGAUGCAAAAGCACUUAGGAAAGAAUUUAAAUGCUACUCAGGCACACGAUAUUGUUACACACAGUCGAAGCUGGUGCACUGGGCACUUCAUCAUCCAGAAACCUCUUUUAACUUACAAUGUAAGAUAAACUUAUAUACCUUUC